rnacentral:rRNA from 1 species
UUAUAAGAGACAGCAGUAGCCACGGGAAUACAGAGGGUGCGAGCGUUAAUCGGAUUUACUGGGCGUAAAGCGUGCGUAGGCGGCUUUUUAAGUCGGAUGUGAAAUCCCUGAGCUUAACUUAGGAAUUGCAUUCGAUACUGGGAAGCUAGAGUAUGGGAGAGGAUGGUAGAAUUCCAGGUGUAGCGGUGAAAUGCGUAGAGAUCUGGAGGAAUACCGAUGGCGAAGGCAGCCAUCUGGCCUAAUACUGACGCUGAGGUACGAAAGCAUGGGGAGCAAACAGGAUUAGAUACCCCCGUAGUCCCUGUCUCUUAUAC